rnacentral:lncRNA from 1 species
GUCAUCCGUCAGCAGUGGUCAUUUUGUAAUUGUGGGAAUAAUCAAUGCAUAUUCCAUGAAAGCAGAGUGUGGGAGGUACCUGUAGGGAGGCAGUACUACAGCAGGUCAUCAAUUAUGGAAAGGGCUGAUGAACGCUAACAGCGCUUCCCACUCCCCCAGCUGAAACUAUAGAGGGUCAGAAGCCCCAAACUGCUGAGCUCUGCACACAGUGGGAGGAGUGGCGUCGGGAGGGGAAGCAGAGAAUGGCUCGCCAAGAGACCCUGGCUUCUAACAACCAGCUCAAGAGAAGUUCCUAGUGAUUAAAUUAAUAAACUGA